rnacentral:ribozyme from 1 species
AGCAAUACCUCGCUGAUACGGAGGUGGUUCCGAAGCCUCUAGAAGGUUAACAUAGGCUCUCCACCUCCUACUCCUAAUCAAUACGUCCCCGUCGUACAGAACGGUAACAUGUCUCUCAAUUAUCCAAGCUUGGGUAUACGGGGAAACCCAACCCCUUGGGCGGAUGGGUUGCAUGGCUAAAUGGAGAGGU